AAAAGCUCAGGUUGGGAGCGUCACAAUUCCAUCCCAGGAGAUGAAGCUCCAUAUUUCAUGCCUCCAGCUCCAAUGUCACAAUCCACACCUUCUUCCCAACCGCUCCUGUACAUACAAUCUAUCCUGCUGCUUGUGGUGCACUGAAAAUGGCCCUGGCUGUGGCUGUCUCCUGAACUGGGCUCCUGAGCAGCUUGCUGGACCACAGCUGCAUCCUGAUGGUGAACGGGAAAGCAGAGGGAGCCCUGGCCCACUCCCAGGUGGUGAAGGUCACUCAUACACCCCAGCCUUGCUGCACAGGAGGCUCAGUCUAAGCAAGGUGGCAUCAUUGUCCAUCACCCUGGCUGGCUGAGGCAGGACAAGCAGGACUCCUGUGCGAUAGUGAGAUAUGUCUGACUCUCAAAUGGAUCACCUUGAAUAACUGAGAAGUUUGUUCUCUGAAGCAACUUCUUCUGGAGCAACUUCUACACACUGGUUUUGUUCUUUGCCCCACAAACUACAGUUGUACACGACAGUCAAGGGUCCACAAAAUUAUUGCAAGAAAGAUUUUGAAGAGAGGCUCAAGCAGGCGCUGAGAGUUUCCAGCAGUGAGGCUUCCAUCGAAAAUACAAGGGAUGGACUCAAUGCUUGUCGCAGCUUCCUGGCUGGACAGAUAUAGUAUCAGUCAUUGUGAAAGUAUGCUCCAGCAACAGUCACUCUCUGCUCCUGUUUAAUAACCUCUCAAGAUCAAUUGACUCACAUCAGCAUUUUCAAAAACCAU